rnacentral:rRNA from 1 species
ACGAACGCUGGCGGCAGGCUUAACACAUGCAAGUCGAACGCCCCGCAAGGGGAGUGGCAGACGGGUGAGUAACGCGUGGGAACAUACCCUUUUCUACGGAAUAGCUCUGGGAAACUGGAAUUAAUACCGUAUACGCCCUACGGGGGAAAGAUUUAUCGGGGAAGGAUUGGCCCGCGUUGGAUUAGCUAGUUGGUGGGGUAAAGGCCUACCAAGGCGACGAUCCAUAGCUGGUCUGAGAGGAUGAUCAGCCACAUUGGGACUGAGACACGGCCCAAACUCCUACGGGAGGCAGCAGUGGGGAAUAUUGGACAAUGGGCGCAAGCCUGAUCCAGCCAUGCCGCGUGAGUGAUGAAGGCCUUAGGGUUGUAAAGCUCUUUCACCGAUGAAGAUAAUGACGGUAGUCGGAGAAGAAGCCCCGGCUAACUUCGU